rnacentral:rRNA from 1 species
AUGGAGGAGCAGAUUGCCGCACACGUCAAGUCCGUCAACGAGGGCCGCGCGGCCAACGAUGCGCGUCUGGAGGUGAUCCAGGCGUCUCUCGAGCUGUGGCAACCAUCGGUGAUGAAUCUUCAACACCAACUCGAUGAACUGCGCACGCAAGUGGGGCGGAUCGCUCUUCACCCCGCGCUGGCUGAUCCGAGCGGCGCAGAAGGGGAUCCGACGGUGGAUCCGGCGGUGCGUCCCGCGGCGGCACAUCCCAAGCCUGCCACGACGCACCAUGGGCCAAGUGGCCACAACGACAUCAUCGAAUUCGGGGGAUCGGCUCACAGGGUGGUCACCACCCUGGUGCCUCCUCCGGUCAAGGGUGUGUUAACUCUACCUCCCCUUGAACUUCCUACAUAUACAUCAGUAGGUGUCAUUCAGGAGCAAGAGCAGCACUCACCACACACGCCUCACUCUCCUCAUCACAGUUGGUCUCUUCCCCGGCUUGAUUUCCCAUCACUCGACGGGGACAAUCCUCAGUUUUGGAAGGCCAGAUGCAAAAAAUAUUUUGAGGUGUAUGGGAUUCAGCGAGACAUGUCUAGGAGGCACAUCGUGGUUCCUUUACUUGGGAGGAGUUAUGCGUCACCGUCUGUGCUAAAUUUUGCCGGGAACGGAGGAGCUCUUGGCAAGCAUGCCAUGGAAGGAUCAGCCGCGGCACGAGUAGGGUGCACCAUGCGCCCUGAUUCGACCGUUGUUGGCUUUGGGCGCACCUCCCCCACGGCCAGACGGGGCGAUGAUCGCAUCACGGCGCUCCGCAACUACAGGCGUGCCCGCGGGCUCUACUUCAAAUGUGGGGAGCGUUGGGGGCAACGCCACCAAUGUGCUGCCACGGUCCAAAUUCAUGUAGUUGAAGAGCUGUGGGAAAUGCUUCAAGCUAAAGUGGACGAUCGGCACCGGCAUGAAUCAGAUUCGGAAGAGGAACAACUUAUGUCAAUAUCCAAACUGGCCACAACGGGGGCAACGACACCCCACACCGUCAGAUUCCUGGGUGCGAUCGAAGGGCAUGAAGUUCUCAUACUUAUGGAUUCAGGGAGUUCUCAUAGUUUUAUCAGCGAGGCGGUGGCAGAGUUGAUUGUUGAACAGGUGUUGCCAAUGGAUCCAUUGUCAGUCAAAAUUGCAGAUGGGGGCAUCGACUGGUUGGAUCAGUGUGGACCAAUGUUGGUUGACUGGGCAGCCAAAACAUUGCAGUUUGACCGGGAGGGGGAGCAAAUUGUGUUGAAGGGGCCGCAACCGCAAGUCCAACAAGUGCAGCAGGCCACUUUGUCGCAGCUCCUCAAGAUGGAACAAGGCAACUCAAUUGCGCACAUCGUGAUGAUUUGUGCAGCAGAAGAGCUAGAAGGAAACGAGCGAGUGCCUCGAGUGAUACAACAUAUCCUCGAUGACUUUCAAUCAGUGUUUGCAGAACCGACCAAUGUACUUGAGCACAGAGAAUGGGAUCAUGCCAUCCCCCUCAUUGCAGGUGCAAACCCCAUCAACAUGCGUCCGUACAGAUACACACUGGAGCAAAAAGAUGAAAUAGAAGCACAAUUCACUAUUCAGUAUAAGGCGGGGCUAAUCAACAGAGCUGCGGAUGCGCUUUCUCGUCGCGCACCCGGACAGGAAACAGAAAUGGCAGCGAUCUCGGUGCGCAAGCCUACGUGGCUGGAAGCAAUCAAACAAAGCUAUCGGCAAGAUACCGCAGCUACUCAGCGCAUGACAAAGUUGGCGCUGGCUCCGGACAGUGACCCAGGAUUUUCCUUGCAAGACGACUCUUGGAAGGUUAUCUGUAAUUCUGACCUUAGAAUUUUUUUGAGGGGAUUUGCGCUUAGAUGGGUGGCUGGACCUCCGCGCGAGAGUGCCCCUGCUGCCGUCCUUCGUCCUUCGCCUGCUGCUCCUCCUCUCAACACUGUUGCUGCUCCUCUUCUUCUUUUCUUUCCUUUCUGCUCCAUGCCUGCCCAUCUUGCCCCCCUACUGAUCAAUGAAUUUGGCAGUCAACUGCCAACAUUCAAAAAAAAAAACUGCUGCUCCUCCCUCUUCCCACGUCCUUGCUGCUGCACUGCUUGCGCCCGACCUCUGCUCCUCCCCCUCGUCUCUUCUGCUGCUGCUCUUCCCUGCUGCCCUUCUCUCAAUCCCACGCUGCUGCUCCUUCUUCUCCUCAUCAGCCGAUCCCCUUUUCCCCAUCCUCUCCCUCUCUACUCCUAUCCCUAGAUCGAGGUCCAUAACACUCCUCUCCCUGCGCUCCGCGAUACCUCCCGCCGUUCCCCUCUCCAAACCCUCACCCACGCCCACCAGAAGAUUCCCCCAACAACAAUGGCGGAAAACGACUACGAGCGCCUUCGCCAGGCCAACAUCCGGCGCAACCAGGAAAAGCUUGCCCUCCUCCGCCGCAAGGCCGACGAGCUCUCCGCCCUUGCUAAACCUAAGCGAAAGCGACCGUAUCAGGUCAGGCCCAAGGCCCCGACCGGCCCCGUCCGCUCCUCCGGCCGCGCCCGCGGCAUCGCUCCCGACAACCUGCCCCCGGAUCUCAGCCUCUCACCCUCGCUCGCCUCCUCCAUCCUCGGGGGCGGGGCUGGGGCUGGGGCUAAGGUUCGUUCGGCGGACGACUUCGAUGCUGGGAGGGACAUGGUGCUGAUGCGCGCGCACGUGAGAAACGUGGUGCCCUGUAGCAUAGAGUCGAUGCGGGUCCUCCCGCUCGCCGACCGGACCGUGGUGGCGGCGGGAGACAAAAGGGGGAAUAUCGGGUACUGGGACGUCGACGGUGUCUCGGAGGAUGCCGACGGUGUGGAUGGGGUCGUCUUCAGUUAUUGGCCACACAAGUGCCCUGUGUCAGCAAUCGUGGCGCACCAGGCGGCACCACACAAGGUUUACAGCUCUAGCCAUCAGGGUGAAAUUUGUCUUAUGGACUUUGAGAAGGAGAAGUACAGUAUGGUCCAUUUAUGGGAGCGGCCUGUUUAUUCACUUUGUCAAGCACAAAAUAGUGCCCGAUGCCUAUAUUUUGGUGAUGAAAAGGGUGGCUUGACACUUUUCGAUGAGCGCGAGGGUAAGGUGUUAACUACAUGGGAUGUGCAUGAGGAGAAAAUCAACUCAAUAGAUUUUCAUCCGGAGAAGCCACAUAUGCUUGCUACCAGUUCAACGGAUCAAACAGCCUGUAUAUGGGAUGUGAGAAAUAUAAAAAGUAAGGAGCCAGAUAGCCUGAAAGUUUUCAAACUUCACAAAUCUGCUCAGUCAGCUUAUUUCUCACCUAGUGGCCGCAUGUUAGCAGUAACAAGAGCCGAGAGACGAGUUCGCGAACGAGGAACCUGUUGAGUACGCUUACGAGGAUCAAGCUUUUGACAACUCUGAGAACCUUGCAGCUCUAGCUACAGCAUUUGUGGUACUGUCCGAGUAUUUUGCGUGGAUGACUUUGAAAAUUCGCAUAGUGUGGAGUAUAAUAACCAGACAGGCAUUUGGCCUUCUGCAUUCAAGGUAAUCUGGGGCUGGAACGACACCGACCUAUAUGACAGUGGCCUCUCGGCUCAGAACAGCUCAGUUCUUAAGAGUGAACACAUGACAUCCAUUCCAAACCGGCUUUCUGCACACCCAUAUAAAGUUGGCUAUCUUGCCUGUUCAAGCUGCACUAGCAAGGUGUACCUUUGGACCAGAGCUUAAAUCAAAAAGAUUUCUAGUAGCUGACUUGUGAACUGUUCCUGGCUUUGUUAUUACCAAGUCAUGCUUGGAAGAUUAUCUGUAUUUUUGGUAGUUGUAACACCUAAUCUUCCUUGACAUCCUGCCCAAGAAAUGUAUAACAUUUGUACUAAGUAUUAUUCUACCAUUUGAUAUUUAAGAUGGUGGACCUGCUGAGUGUUGUGCUACGAGGA